rnacentral:tRNA from 1 species
GCUGAGCUGGGUGCCGAGGUGGCGUGGGCGGCCUGUGAUGUCGCCGACCGGGAGGCGCUGGCUGCCGUUCUGGCCGGGAUCCCUGCG